GCUAUAUACAGGGUAUUACAGUACAGAGUCAAUGUGGAGCCUAUAUACAGGGGGUACCGGUACAGAGUCAAUGUGGAGGUUAUAUACAGGGUGUUACAGUACAGAGUCAAUGUGGAGGCUAUAUACAGGGGUACCGGUACAGAGUCAAUGUGGAGGCUAUAUACAGGGUGCUACGGUACAGAGUCAAUGUGGAGGUUAUAUACAGGGUGUUACAGUACAGAGUCAAUGUGGAGACUAUAUACAGGGGGUACUGGUACAGAGUCAAUGUGGAGGCUAUAUACAGGGAGUACCGGUACAGAGUCAAUGUGGAGGCUAUAUACAGGGGGGUACCGGUACAGAGUCAAUGUGGAGGCUAUAUACAGGGGGUACCGGUACAGAGUCAAUGUGGAGACUAUAUACAGGGUAUUACGG
ensembl:lncRNA